UACGUAGGCAGCAAGCGUUGUUCGGAGUUACUGGGCGUAAAGGGCUCGUAGGCGGCCAACUAAGUCGGACGUGAAAUCCCUCAGCUUAACUGGGGAACUGCGUCCGAUACUGGAUGGCUUGGAUUUGGGAGAGGGAUGCGGAAUUCCUGGUGUAGCGGUGAAAUGCGUAGAUAUCAGGAGGAACACCGGUGGUGUAGACGGCUUUCUGGACCGUAACUGACGCUGAGACACGAAAGCGUGGGUAGCAAACAGG
rnacentral:rRNA from 1 species